rnacentral:rRNA from 1 species
GAUUAACGCUGGCGGCAUGCCUUACACAUGCAAGUCGAACGGUAACAGGUCUUCGGAUGCUGACGAGUGGCGAACGGGUGAGUAAUACAUCGGAACGUGCCUAGUAGUGGGGGAUAACUACUCGAAAGAGUGGCUAAUACCGCAUGAGAUCUACGGAUGAAAGCAGGGGAUCGCAAGACCUUGUGCUACUAGAGCGGCCGAUGGCAGAUUAGGUAGUUGGUGGGAUAAAAGCUUACCAAGCCGACGAUCUGUAGCUGGUCUGAGAGGACGAUCAGCCAGACUGGGACUGAGACACGGCCCAGACUCCUACGGGAGGCAGCAGUGGGGAAUGUUGGACAAUGGGCGAAAGCCUGAUCCAGCAAUGCCGCGUGCAGGAUGAAGGCCUUCGGGUUGUAAACUGCUUUUGUACGGAACGAAAAGCCCCGGGUUAAUACCCUGGGGUCAUGACGGUACCGUAAGAAUAAGCACCGGCUAACUACGUGCCAGCCGCCGCCGUAA